GUGUCUCGUUGUCUCACUUGUGUCUGCCUCUGUCAGUAUUUAGUCUCUGUGUUUCCUUCGUGUUCCAUUUGGUUUUACCCCUCUCCUGCUCCCCGUGAUGCCCUCAUGUUUUCAUUGUGGAUUUUCAUUGUGGAUUCUCCUGGACUUUGAUUCAAGGGUUUGAGCAGCAGCCUCUUGGGGAAAGAGAGACAGAGAGAGAGAGAGAGAGAGCUUUCCGAUGGGCUGCCCUCAAGGCUUCCUGGCACUAAGUUCAUGCCUCGACCAGGCUGCAGUCAUGCUGACUGAAAAGAAAGUUUUGCAGAUGUCCGCGGCUUUGUUUUGAUACAGCAACAUCUGUGAGGACGCCCCGGGAUGCCAGCAAGCCGAUGAGCAGAGUCUUCUCAGAGUGAGAUCCAGUCUUACCUGUCUAAAGAAGAUCUGACUUUUGAGCCACUCCCUGCAUCUUCAUCCUCCGUGGAUUACUGCUCGUUGACGGUGCAGAACAGGAGGUCAGAGGGAGGGGGCGCCAAAAUCACCACGAACCAAAAGUAACUCACAGGAGAUUUAUGGAGCUCCCGGAUCUCAUCGUCUCCAGAGUUUGCUGACGAUUGGUUGAGGCUGUGACCUCCUGGGAAACCCCCCGUGGCCUCGGCGUGAUGUCAGACUCAGCAGGAUGGAGAUCACCUGUGGCUGAUAGCUGAGUCCCAGAGAUGGGGUUCUGAUAUCUGAUGAGAGCUCAGACACAGUGCUGUACUUUUUGAGAGGAUUUCAUUCUGUCCCAAUUGUGUCAGAGUAGAAAGUUAGACGUUAAAGGUGCUUCGGGAUGUCAGCUAUCACAGAAAGAAACCCAAAAUUAUCAGAUUUUAACUCAGAGUUAUUUCUGUUGAACACCACAUUUUAAUUUUCAGCUCAGUCUGUUGAUAAUAAUUAGAAUUACACCUCUUACACCUCACGCCUUGAGCUUGUAAUGCAUUUAUCACCACAGAGGUUGGAAUCAAAUCCUAAUUCUAUUGUCUUUGGACUCUAAUUAUCUCCACAGGCAGGCCUAAUAUCACAUUAUGAAAUGUGUCACAUGAAGCUGCAACAUUUAAUCUGUUGGCAGUUGUAGCUGCAUGGAGUAAACUUUUUAGACCAUGUGAGUUUUAUUGUUUAAGAGAGUUAACUUCUGUAAACUGGUGAGGAGGUUAAUUAAUCGACUGGAGACAAACUAACAGAUGUGUAAUUAUAGAGUGCUGCAAUGGGCAAAGAAUGUUGAGUAAGAAAAUGCUCUGCACAACACUGAUGGAGGUGAAAUGUAACAUUGAGUAAGAAUUGAGGGACUACGAUGAGAAAUAAACAGAGAAAACUAA